rnacentral:lncRNA from 1 species
CUCCGCCCUUCCUCUGCCCUUCCCCGUAGGCUCCCUCUCCCCUAUCUUGUCUUUGUCUCCUUCCCUCUUUCCUCCUCCUCUGCUUUUCUCUUUUUUCCCUUUCUUCCCUUCCUCACCCCAUUCCCUAUCCCUCUCCACAUUUCUGUGUCUUCCAGUCUGUUUCCCCCUUUUUCUCGUCUCCUUGCUCCCUCUCUUUCUCUGAGUCUGCCUGCUUUCUCCUCUUUCCCAUCUACCUCCUCUUAUGCUCACCAGGAUUCCUCUCUAGGCUGCCCACCAGGUCCCCUGGAGCAUUCACAAGACUGCUGGAUUGACCACCUGAUCCCCGUGCGCCCAGGCAAGUUCCUGAGAGCAUCACACUGGCAACACUUCUUCCCCCUGGCAGCAAAAGUUCCUUCUUGUAGCAACUGUUAAUCCAGUUGACAGUUUUCCCAACACUUUCAAGAUCAGCCUCCUAUGCCCCUCAGAGAUACCAGCACCAGCUAAGCCACCUCUCACCCUCUGGUCUGUUAAAAUAACUGGCAUCAUUUCUGAAGCCUGACUGAUAUACAGGAGAUCCAAUACAAGAUGAAAACAAGAACUCAAAGGGUGAGGGUGGAAGGACAUCCUGGGACAAUAAUUAUGUACCAGACUAGUAGAUUGCUUAAAUUGAUAGCCCCAGUUGGUGACCUUCCUGUAUCUAUAUUAUUUGUAAAGUGACUUUUCAGAUUCUUCCAUCAAGACAUGGAGUCUAUUUUUG